GUCUAUGGUAGUCCGGGCAGGGCUUCCGAAAGGAAGGCCGGUAUCCGUUGGGGCCGGUACGCCAACCCUGUUCGGGCUACCACCCAA
rnacentral:antisense_RNA from 1 species